AGAGCGAACGCUGGCGGCAGGCCUAACACAUGCAAGUCGAGCGCCCGUAGCAAUACGGGAGCGGCAGACGGGAUAGUAACACGUGGGAACGCGCCCUUCGGUUCGGAAUAACUCAGGGAAACUUGAGCUAAUACCGGAUACGCCCUUACGGGGAAAGAUUUAUUGCCGAAGGAACGGCCCGCGUCCGAUUAGCUAGUUGGUGAGGUAAUGGCUCACCAAGGCGACGAUCGGUAGCUGGUCUGAGAGGAUGACCAGCAUCACUGGGACUGAGACACGGCCCAGACUCCUACGGGAGGCAGCAGUGGGAAUAUUGGACAAUGGGCGCAAGCCUGAUCCAGCCAUGCCGCGUGGAUGAUGAAGGCCUUAGGGUUGUAAAGUCCUUUUAACGGGGAAGAUAAUGACGGUACCCGUAGAAUAAGCCCGGCUAACUUCGCGCCAGCAGCCGC
rnacentral:rRNA from 1 species